UACGUAGGUGGCAAGCGUUGUCCGGAAUUAUUGGGCGUAAAGCGCGCGCAGGUGGUUUCUUAAGUCUGAUGUGAAAGCCCACGGCGUCAACCGUCGGAGGGUCGAUUGGUAAACUAGGGAGGACUUGAGUGCAGAAGAGGAUAGUGGAAUUCCAACGUGUAGCGGUGAAAUGCGUAGAGAUUUGGAGGAACACCAGUGGCGAAGGCGACUAUCUGGUCUGUAACUGACACUGAGGCGCGAAAGCGU
rnacentral:rRNA from 1 species